AGGCUGUAAGGAGAUACCUACUGUGUUGACUGGUGGUGAUUGCUCUAGGUACUACUCUGAGCAGACA